UGGGGAAUAUUGGACAAUGGGCGAAAGCCUGAUCCAGCCAUGCCGCGUGUGUGAAGAAGGUCUUCGGAUUGUAAAGCACUUUAAGUUGGGAGGAAGGGCAGUAAGCGAAUACCUUGCUGUUUUGACGUUACCGACAGAAUAAGCACCGGCUAACUCUGUGCCAGCAGCCGCGGUAAUACAGAGGGUGCAAGCGUUAAUCGGAAUUAGUGGGCGUAAAGCGCGCGUAGGUGGUUCGUUAAGUUGAAUGUGAAAGCCCCGGGCUCAACCUGGGAACUGCAUCCAAAACUGGCGAGCUAGAGUAGGGCAGAGGGUGGUGGAAUUUCCUGUGUAGCGGUGAAAUGCGUAGAUAUAGGAAGGAACACCAGUGGCGAAGGCGACCACCUGGGCUCAUACUGACACUGAGGUGCGAAAGCGUGGGGAGCAAACAGG
rnacentral:rRNA from 1 species